rnacentral:pre_miRNA from 1 species
GUAGUACUCUCUUUGUUUCGAAUUACUUGUCGCAGGUAUAGAUGUAUCUAUAUAUAUUUUAGUUUUAAAUACAUUUAUUUCUGCGACGAGUAAUUUAGAACGAAGGGAGUAGAAA